GACGGAGGAGGCUAGCGUUGUUCGGAAUUACUGGGCGUAAAGCGCACGUAGGCGGUUGCGUAAGUUGGGGGUGAAAUCCCGGGGCUCAACCCUGGAAUUGCCUCCAAGACUGCGCGGCUUGAGUAUGGAAGAGGAGAGUGGAAUUCCCAGUGUAGAGGUGAAAUUCGUAGAUAUUGGGAAGAACACCAGUGGCGAAGGCGACUCUCUGGUCCAUUACUGACGCUGAGGUGCGAAAGCGUGGGGAGCAAACAGG
rnacentral:rRNA from 1 species